GAUUUUUUAAGACUUGUUACUAUUAUUAAACGUUAAGAAAAAAACUAUUUUGAUUACCCUACAGUUUGCCUAACGUUUCAAUGCAUUUCCUAUAGGCAUGAUUUCUAUAUGCUAUUAGUUUAUUAGUAGGUCCUAUAGGCAGGAUUUCUAAUGAUUUGCAACACGGCUGAACAUUAAAUCCUAUAGACAUGAUUUCUAAAUGCUUGAAUGAAAGGAAUGCAAAAGCCUAUAGACAUGAUCUCUAGGUGAUUUAAAGCGUUGAACCUAUAGGCAUGAUAUCUAAGUGAUUAAGUAACAACAAACAUAUAGGCAUGGUAUCUACCCUUUAGCAUAUGCAAGUAAUAUAAACCCCUCCCACACCCUUUUACUAAUAUUUUUCGAGUUCUUUUUACAAGGUUAUUACAAAAUUAGAAGAAAGAAGGUAAACAAAAUAGCUAGAUUCGAGAAACCUAAUUCAAUCUUAAUAUCAAAUACAUGUGUUUCACCAAAUUCGGAUUCCAGAUUCCAAGGC
rnacentral:lncRNA from 1 species